GUAGUCCACGCCGUAAACGAUGAUAACUCGUUGCAGGCGAUACACAGUCUGUGACUUAGCGAAAGCGUUAAGUUAUCCACCUGGGGAGUACGUUCGCAAGAAUGAAACUCAAAGGAAUUGACGGGGGCCCGCACAAGCGGAGGAACAUGUGGUUUAAUUCGAUGAUACGCGAGGAACCUUACCCGGGCUUGAAAGUUAGUGACCGGCCGAGAAAUCGGCUUUCCCUUCGGGGCACGAAACUAGGUGCUGCAUGGUUGUCGUCAGCUCGUGCCGUGAGGUGUCGGGUUAAGUCCCAUAACGAGCGCAACCCCUACUGUUAGUUACCAGCAUGUUAUGAUGGGGACUCUAGCAGGACUGCCGGUGUAAGCCGAGA
rnacentral:rRNA from 1 species